GAUGAACGCUGACAGAAUGCUUAACGCAUGCAAGUCUACUUGAACUUCGGUUUGGGUGGCGGACGGGUGAGUAACGCGUAAAGAACUUGCCUCACAGUUAGGGACAACAUUUGGAAACGAAUGCUAAUACCUGAUAUUAUGAUUUUAGGGCAUCCUAGGAUUAUGAAAGCUAUAUGUGCUGUGAGAGAGCUUUGCGUCCCAUUAGCUAGUUGGAGAGGUAACGGCUCACCAAGGCGAUGAUGGGUAGCCGGCCUGAGAGGGUGAACGGCCACAAGGGGACUGAGACACGGCCCUUACUCCUACGGGAGGCAGCAGUGGGGAAUAUUGGACAAUGGACCAAAGGUCUGAUCCAGCAAUUCUGUGUGCACGAUGACGUUUUUCGGAAUGUAAAGUGCUUUCAGUUGGGAAGAAAAAAAUGACGGUACCAACAGAAGAAGUGACGGCUAAAUACGUG
rnacentral:rRNA from 1 species